GAAAUGCGAUAAGUAGUGUGAAUUGCAGAAUUCAGUGAAUCAUCGAAUCUUUGAACGCACAUUGCGCCCCUCGGUAUUCCGUGGGGCAUGCCUGUUCGAGCGUCAUCUACACCCUCAAGCUCUGCUUGGUGUUGGGCGUCUGUCCCGGCCGUCUUGCCAUAAAAGCCCAAACUUUUUUGUUUUCUAUGGUUGACCUCGGAUCAGGUAGGAAUACCCGCUGAACUUAAGC
rnacentral:misc_RNA from 1 species